rnacentral:rRNA from 1 species
AUUGAACGCUGGCGGCAGGCCUAACACAUGCAAGUCGAGCGGCAGCGGGACCUUCGGGUUGCCGGCGAGCGGCGGACGGGUGAGUAAUGCCUAGGAAUCUGCCUGUUAGUGGGGGAUAACGCGGGGAAACUCGCGCUAAUACCGCAUACGUCCUACGGGAGAAAGCGGGGGCUCUUCGGACCUCGCGCUAACAGAUGAGCCUAGGUCGGAUUAGCUAGGUGGUGGGGGAAUGGCCCACCAAGGCGACGAUCCGUAACUGGUCUGAGAGGAUGAUCAGCCACCCUGGAACGGAGACACGGUCCAGACACCUACGGGAGGCAGCAGUGGGGAAGAUUAGACAAUGGGCGAAAGCCUGAUCCAGCCAUGCCGCGUGUGUGAAGAAGGUCUUCGGAUUGUAAAGCACUUUAAGUCGGGAGGAAGGGCUGUAGGCUAAUACCUUGCAGUUUUGACGUUACCGACAGAAUAAGCACCGGCUAACUUCGUGCCGGCCGCCGCCGUAA